rnacentral:lncRNA from 1 species
UAACUUUUUAUUACUUCGAGAACAAUUUUAACGAUAUUCUAUGAAUUUUGCGUAUGAAAAAAAAAAAAAAAUCAUUCAGGAUGGAACGGUUUAUCGGCUUACUUAAAUCCGAGAUUUCGAUUCGACGACGUAAAAUUCAUUUUAAGACCCACUCGUGGCCGAGCGAUUGAAUGUUUAAAGCAGUUCUAAAACAGAUGCUUGUGUUUUAUAGUUGCAUAAAGGCACGUAGUUAAAUUGCGGCCAUUAUCGCGGAGAUCAAAUGAUGAAUGCCGAUUCGAGAAAUAUGAGGUUCACGCGAACACCUCAACCAGUGUGCAACCACGUAUCGAUAUUCACGUUUGAUCGAUCCAUCGUAGUUAACGACCAUAGAUGGACAAGAAUUGCGAAAAGUAAUUAAACCCGAUUGGUUACGAAUUAUAAUCAUGCUUGUAAAUUAAUUUUCGAUAUACUACCGAGAUAUCGUCUCAGAUAUUGGCCAACGAUCAAUGAAAAAUUAAAGAUAUGGCUUCUCUUGGUCGGAUCACGAAUUAUAAUCAUCCUUGUAAAUUAAUUUUCGAUACACAACACCGAGAUAUCGUCUCAGAUAUAAGCGAAUGAUCGAUGAAAAAUUAAGAAAGUUUCAGAUAUAAGCUUCUUUUUUUGCUACCAUAAAUUAUAAUCAAGCUUAUAAAUUAAUUCUCGAUAUAAUAUCGUCUCGGAUAUGGGCGAACGAUCAAUGAAAAAUCAAGAGAGGUUAUGUAUAUUUUGAUUGCGUUUAAGUAAUACGUUUAUGAUUUAAUUCCAGAUAUGGCCUCUCUUUUAAUACCAUGAAUUAUAAUCAAACUCUAACAAAUUAAUUUUCGAAUUUAUAUUAUCGUCUUGGAUAUGAGAGAACGAUCAAUCAAAAAUUAAGAAAGAUACGUAUAUUUCGAUAGUUUCUUUUAGGUUAGGUUAGGUUAAAUGAUAAACUAUGAUAUUUCAAUAGACGCAUAGGAUAUUUAUAUAAAUUUUUCUACCAUGUUUGUUACGAGCUGAAAUGUUGAACAGUAAUAAAAAUAUCUUUGACCCA